ACGUGUUCCCGAUGCCCAGAAGGGCCUCGGAAGGGGCUUCUAUAUGGGAGCAGUCUGCUGGACAGGGUUACUGGCAGGCCUGCUUUGUUUGGACCUUAUUCUCAUAUUGUGCUGUGUCAGAAUCUGGUGUUACUGGAAGAAGAAACGGAGCACCUCUGGAACUUCACCAGACCGGCCAAAGGCCUCAGUCAUGGAGAACUGGGCCUGUCAUGCUGCAUCUCCGUGCCAGUGUCCGUUGUCCCUUCCACAAGUGCAUUACCAGCUUAUAGCUGGAAAUAUGCCGCCGCCACCACCCACCUCCCUCUCCGAAGGGACUGACCUUGCUCUCCAUCCAGGACAGGAGGUGCAGCCCUCUAGCCUAGGAAUGGAUUGUUGAAAAAGUUAUAUUUACUUGUAAAAAUUUUAAAUGUUUAUUAAAACCUUUAUUAAAAGUAUAACAAGAGACUGAA